GGCUCAUCCAUCGAAAUCAUUGAACUCGACUCUUAAUCACUUCCAAUCACUUCUGCAAACAUUACUGAAAGAAUGGGUCACUCUCUGGAGCUCAGUGAAUUUCAGUGUGGUACUGUGAUAGGAAGUCCAGUUGUGAAAUUUCCUCCCUAUUUGCUUUGAUGGCAGAUUUUCUCAGUGUCUUCAUGACGUAGAGUCACCUGGAAUAGUUUCUCAGCACCUUUAAGGAUUUCUGGAAGUGCUGAAAAACAGUUGCUGCUUUUCCUUCACGCUGUGAAGCUCCAGCUCAUUCCCUAUUAUCUAAAAUCACCAUCUCAGCUGUGUUUAGAUCAUUCACACAUUGUUAAACCAAAUAAAUACAGAAUUGGAACAGAAGAGAGCUGGUAAGUAAAUAAGAGAGCAACAGAAUACUCACAAAAAUCACAUACAAACUCUCACUCAUGCUAAUGUAUUCAAUCAGAGUAAGAGGCAUGUUAUAUAUUUAUCUUAAUCUGUAUAAGAUUAUCUAUAAAACUGCUUGUUGUUAUAUUUAUUUUAAAAUAUAUUUCCACAGUUCUCUCACUACUUUGAGACCUCAUACUCCUCUGCCUACAACAAAGAAGACACACGCCCAGUUUACAACACUCUAAAGAGAGAGCCCAGAAUCUUUCCUGGUCACCAGCCUGAACUGGACCCUCCCCAUACGAAGUGUGUGCUGGACUCCUGCUACAGACUGGACUUCAGCAGGCAUGGGUCAACCAGAAGCUCUGCAAGACCAAGUGCUCCUGAGCUGCAGCUGAAAAGCGAGAAAGAGAUGGACACAAGGAAUUCUGUCACAGAUCUGCAGUAGACUGUGAAUCCACGUAAACAGGAGUGUACACUCUUAAACAUAAAGACUCUGCAAUUUUUUCAUUGAGCCAAAUCACUUUUGGUUCCAAAAAAAAAAAAAAAAAACGUUUGUAACCAAAAUAUCUGUGAAUAAUCUCAGUAAGUGAAGGUUCUUCACCAUUUUAAGAACUUGACAUUCACACAUCUCUAGUAUUAAAC
rnacentral:lncRNA from 1 species